UCUUCUCUGGUAUAUCGGUAGAACAUCACCCUGUCAACUUGACCUCCUCCUGGGAGGUCAACCCAGACGGCCGGUGAAGAGCUGGGUUCGACUCCCAGGAGGAGAG